rnacentral:rRNA from 1 species
CCUACGGUGGGCAGCAGUGAGGAAUAUUGGUCAAUGGGCGGAAGCCUGAACCAGCCAAGUAGCGUGCAGGAUGUCGGCCCUACGGGUUGUAAACUGCUUUUAUACGGGACUAACGCGCCUUACGUGUAGGGCUUUGCAUGUACCUUAUGAAUAAGGACCGGCUAAUUCCGUGCCAGCAGCCGCGGUAAUACGGAGGGUCCGGGCGUUAUCCGGAUUUUUUGGGUUUAAGGGGAGCGUAGGCCGCAUGUCAAGCGUGCUGUGAAAUGUCCGGGCUCAACCCGUGCCUUGCAGGGCGAACUGGCGUGCUUGAGUCCGCGGAAGGCAGGCGGAAUUCGUGGUGUAGCGGUGAAAUGCUUAGAUAUGACGCAGAACCCCGAUUGCGAAGGCAGCUUGC